ensembl:snRNA U6 U6 spliceosomal RNA
GUGCUUGCUUCAGUAGCACAUACGCUAAAAUUGGAACGAUAAAGAGAAGAUUAGCAUGGCUCUUUCACAAGGAUGACACACAAAUUUGUGAAGUGUUCCAUAUUUUU